UGAUAAGACUAUCUCCUUUUUCUCCAGUUCUGCCAUACUUUUCCCAAAUUGUAUUUUUAGAGUGUAUUUUUAAUGCACCAGGGAAAUUGUAGCAGUGCAAAACUGUAUUUCGUGUUAUUUUGGUAACACGUCCAUUUCCAGACAGCGCUUCAAAAGAGAUGAACAAAUAAUCAGAAGAGCAAAAUGUCUCUGUCCUGUGCACAGCAGACACAGAAAACCGCUUGUUCCUCUUAUUGAAAUUACCUUUUAUAUAUUUGAAAGCUGCUAUUGUUUUACCUCUUAGAUUUCUUCUCACUGAAGUUCAGCUAUUCAGAGGAAUGUCAGAGGAAUGUCAGAUUAAACCUAUCCUGAUUCUUUCAGCCUUUUCUAAUAAGUAUAUCUUUCUGAAGCCUGAUAAUUAUCGUUGUAUUCCUGUGUUUUUUCCCACUAGGACCAUACCUUCCCUGAAGCAUCCAAAAUUGGCUGUGUCCCAUCCCAGCUCAAAUGUCCAGCUCUCUACAGACAGCUUCAAGGAGAGCUGAAGAAUUGCUAGAUGUUUUGUAGAUGAUAACUUGGGCUAUAAAUUGCACCUCUCAACUCCUCUUGGUCUUGUUAUACAAUGUAUACCUGUUAUAUUUGAUUGGCAAAAAUACCUACCUGCAGUAACUGUGAAUAAAUCAAUGUAUUUGUUGGUUUGUUUAAAAACAAGCUGCUCUCUCAUCCAGAGAAAAUAAAUACAUAGAAAAAUGAAGGGAUUGUUUUUGUCUGCUCACCAAAUUUCUCCUCACCAAAAUAUAAAUUAAGAUAUAGAAGGGAAGAAACAAUGAAAAAUAAGAGGAAAAUGACACAGGAAGAAGUGACGUCUUCCUUCAAAAUGUGUGUCCCUGGCAUCAUCCACUUCUCUGGGUAGGCCUUCUACUGGUGUCCUCAGUUUGCACUGGCUUGCAGUCAUCCAAACUCGUCCUUCAAAUCUUCACUUUCUUUCAGUAAAUUCCAAUUUCCAGUUUCCAGCUCUGCUACUGUUUCUCUGAGGCACCACUUUUUGUUUUUCUCCAGCAGACCCACUGCAGACCUUGAAAUCCCUCUGCUGCCUCUGCAGACAAGAACACAUCUGGAUGUGCAUCCAUACCACGCUGGAUCAGAGUAUUUAUUAGCCUGGCAGCAGAGUCUCAUCACCACGCAGUGUAAUGAUUAACAGCUUCAUUCUCACCAUUGCUAUACAGAAGGGCCUCUCACAGGGUCAUUUCCUGCCCUUGCUUCUGUCUUACAGUGGGGUAAUUUCAUUUACUUCAGCAUAUGUGGAACAGCAGAAGCACAAGGGUCUGUACUGCUCAGGGCUUGUGGGGAAGAUUUUGAGAAACAUUUGGAGCUGCAUGCCAAAUUGGCUUCUGAUUUUCUUUGAAAAAGUCCAGAUGUCUGUACUUUGGGGAAGAUUUGAAGGGGAAGCAGAUGCAGGCUGACCUGUCUUCAGACAAGAGCCCAAAUUUUCAGAAUGGCCCAAGAUAUGCUGUACUGAGACAUUUGGGCUGAAGAUACUGAAAUAAGCUCUGCAUAUUCCUGCUGCACAGGAGCUGAACUGCUCUUACCCUGUGCUACAUAAAAAGCAUUUGGAAAUGGCUCGACUGUAGGAGGCAGUUCAGGCCUUGGAGUGUUUUGAAUUCCAGCUUUCUAGACAAAGCUCCCAUGCAGUGGCACCUUGUUAAGAGGCUCACCUCAACAUUUCCUGGACAGAAGUGCUCCUGUCUGUGGUGGUACACAUGCAGCUAGCAAAGUCACAUGUGACAGUCCCUGAAAAGAGACCUUCCUGCUUGCACAUGCAGAACAAAGAGAUGAGCUGCACCUGCUGACACUGCCACAGUCAAUGAAAAUAACCAAAUUUGGACAGGAGAUGGAUGGUCUGCUGCAGAUAGCCAGGAGAGCACUGUAAAGCUACAGUGCUGCAAGGAAGAAUCCCUGCAGAAGCAGAGCCCACUAAUUAGAGCAUGGUAAUUAGAGCAUAAAUCUUUACCUGGUAAAGAUUUCUAGAGCCAAUGUCUUUAACCACAAGUUUCUUGGUAACUAAGCUACUUAAACCUUCUGGGCCUUGGUUUUCUUGUUUGUGAAUUGAGGGUUGAGAUAACAUCCCUGGGCGAUGUAAUUAGCUUGUGUUUACAAAAUGCUUUGUGGUGCUGUGAGGGAUCUUACUGGAUGCAUGCAGGGAGUGAUUUUUCUGUGGGACAGCAUAUGUGUGUUUUUCAGCCUGUCUUGACAACUGUGUGUUCCAUGACACUGGGGUAUUAAAAAUUUCUGAGCAGCUUGAGUGAUGGUCUCAAUGCCUUUGGAAUUGUGGAUAGCUGAAAAGCUGUCCACUGAAAACAGAAGUCUGCCUCUCUGAUUAGUAUUUGCUUCUUGAAAAACAAUUUUGCUUCCAUGAGAAACAAGGUUAGAAAUGAAUCUAGGAAAAUAAUGGCAGAAUGCAAUGUCAGUUCUCCACUCAAGUAGCAUCUUGAGGAAAAUAAAAAAUAUUAUUUUGUAGCUCUGAUGACUUCCUAUGAGGACUACAAAGUUCAUAGAAUAACAGAAUCAUAGAAUAAUAGAAUCAUAGAAUAUGAGGAGUUUGAAGGGAUCCAUCAGGAUCAUUGAGUUCAACUCCUGGCCCUGCUCAGGAUACCCAAAGAGUCACACCACAUGCCUAAGAGCAUUGUUCAAACUGUUCUUGAACUCUGUCAGGCAGGUGCUAUGACCACUUCCCUGGGGAGUGUGUUCCAGUGUGCAAACACCCUCUGGAUGAAAAACAAUAUGAGGAAACAGUCAAUGUAAGAGAUGAACAUGCAUUAGAAAACAUAAGAUCAGGGUUUAAAGCUCUUGAUGUUGCCAUUGCAUUAGCAUAAAAUCUUUAUUUGU